GUGACAGCCAUACAACCACUUUUGGUGAUCAAGGUACAUGGAUAAAUUGCUACUGCUGUAAACAAACUGCUUGCUCUGUAUGGAAAAAAAAAAAAAAGGGAAAAAAAGGAAGCAGAGAGAAACAAAACAAUCAGCUUAUGAUUUCUAAAGGAGGCUAUAAGAGUAUGACAUCCUGACACUUCAGAUUUGACUGAUGUCUUCCACUUGAAUAAUUUCAUCAAAAUCUAACAGUGGGCACAAAGAGAACUUCCAGAUAAUACUAUUGCUUUCUAACCCAGUUGGCUGCUGCACGUGUUACAUUUUUAAUCAUUUUGAAGCCACCCAGAAGCCAUUUCUUUACCAGCACAUAAACGGGAGAAGGUGUUGCCUCAAGCCUGCUAUCUCUGAAGUCAACAGGAGAAAAAAC